rnacentral:lncRNA from 1 species
UUUUGUAGACGAAACGCGCGUCUGGCGCAAAAACCGGCAAAAUUUAUAUCCCGGUAUCCAUCUAUGAUGAGUUUAUGUAGAUACCUUGUAACAGUAUCUUGGCUCCAAUCUACUAAUAUUUGGUCUUAGUACUCUUAAUUUCAGCGUAAAUAAGAUAUAAAUAUAUCAAAAACCUCCCACAUUGUAGACUAGCACAACCUUAAUUGGGACACCAUGCAUUCAGUAUUCCUACCGUACCAAAAAAAAUAUUAAAAAAAAAAAAAUAUUAACUAAAAUCAUUGAUACAAGGCAAUAUAAUUAUGAUCGUCAUACAACCGAUAAAAAUGAAAACAUAACGUUAAAAGUUACGACCGAAGCGCUUUUCUGGAUCGACCUUCUUAGGGAACGCUCAAAGCUGAAUAUUAAGGGCCAACAACUUACAAAGAACAGAUUAAAUGAUAUAUUCUUUAGCCAACAUGAUUGCAGAAAGUAAGAAGUCGUAGAGCAAAAC